UUGUAAACCAACAGGAUUCUUGCCCAGACUUUAGGGAUGCUGGGUGUACCGUGGUCCCCACAUCCAUGAUGACGGAUGGGAUGUGCAACCUGGGGACACUCAACCCAGGAGCUGCCCACCCCCCUCCCCACCCUGCAGAGAAGCAUCAGGUCCCUUCUGUGACCACCAAAUGGAUGCAGGUGCCACCCACCAUGCCAGCUGGGUGUUCCCUCCCUGCCACCAGCAUCUCACCACCGAGCAGGGUACCAGAGGUGGCGACACAGGGCUGAGGACGCGUCCCCAGCCGCGGGCCAUGCUCCAGCUGGGCGCUGUUUUGUAAGGACUCCUGGGCCUCUGCGGCACAGAGAUAAGCCCAAGAAUUCGCCGUCGGUUCCAAAUAUCCCAUCCGCUUCCUCCCGCCGUCCUCGCCGCCGCUCCAGCCCGCUUGUCUCAUUUCCGCAGCCUCGCGCUGGGGGGAGUUUUUCCUGUUUUCCCCCCCCCGGCCGCGGGGCGGUGGCGGGGGGCUGCGGGGUGCAGGGAGGAAAGGCAGGACAAUGGGCGCGGGCAGGGAUGGGCAGCUGCCCACCGCCCCCACCAGGGGUCUGCACUGGGGACAUGGGGAUUUGCUCGGUGGCCCAGGAUGGGGUUGGGAGAGGCAGAUGGGUGGCAGCAGGGGUGGCAGGUGGCAACGGUGGGGACGCGGGUCCUGGGCUGAGCUGAGAUUGCAGAUGCGGUUUCUUUUCCUUUCCUUUUAUUAUUUCUUUCUUUUUCUUUUUCUUUUUUUAUUUUUUUUUUCUCUAAGGGUUUUGCUGUAAAUCAACCCAAGCUCCCUCCGGAGCAUCUUUUCUGUGCCACAGUGGGUGACACCAGCUGGAGGACCCCCCCCAUCCACCUGAGCAUCACCCCAGCGUGAGAACAGGGAUGGAGCCAGCGUGGCAGGAGUUAUUCAAAGGCGGGCGGAAGUGAGCGCAGCAACUGAAACAACAAUGAAAAGGAAACAAAGCUUGAAAAAUUCUCCGUUCAUAAAUCAAGUGAACUGCAGGAAGAGGAGCUGCUGUCUUGGGACGGGCUUCUCGGCGUUGGCAGCAUCCCUGCGCGGACAGAAAACCUCUCCCCAUCCCAGCCAGGUCCUGCAGCAUCUUGCUACAGGGGAGAUGGGGAGCAGUUUGGACAAAGCCAGGUCUGCCCUCCUCACUGUCCCCUCUCUGCCAGCCCCUGUGAGCUGAGACCCCACCUUGGGGACACUGAAGGGGAGCUCAUGCCUUUGGGAUCCAUGGAUGGCUCCAAGCACUGAGCUGGUGGCAGCAGGCUGAACCGUACAGUGGAGAAAAGGAAAUGGUCCCGGUCCCCAUGCUGGGAAAGCCAGGCAGGAUUGUAUCUCCCCCACCCCAUUAUCCAUCCCCCCUUCCAUGAUUUCCCUGUCAUCUUGUCUUUCGGCAGAGCUGGAAAACUGGGAGACGACCGUAAAUAAAUCCUGUGUCUUUAAGCCGUUCUGUACAGUACAAGAAAACGCACUCGUUGAAUUACAGCUUUUUAAUCAAAUACAUGUAACCAUGUCACUUAAAGUGCUCGCGAAAAGCAGGGGGAAAAAAAAAAGCUCAACACAAUUGGAAGAGCAUGAUAUUAAAACCAGCUGCUUGCUUACCCCCACCACAGUUAAUAGUUUUUGAAUGUUCUGAAUGAGAGAGAAACCAGAGCCAAGCUCCACUUUCAUGUCCAUCUUUCUGAUCAAGCCCUGUCAGACGGGGGGAGCCGGGCAGCCUGGCACA